GAUGAACGCUCGCGGGAGGCCUAACACACGCAAGCCGAGCGGUAUUUCUUCUUCGGCAGAGAGAGAGCGGCGUACGGGUGCGGAACACGUGUGCAACCUGCCUUUAUCUAGCGGAUAGCCUUUCGAAAGGAAGAUUAAUACUCUAUAAUAUAUUAAUUGGCAUCAAUUGAUAUUGAAAACUCCGGUGGAUAGAGAUGGGCACGCGCAAGAUUAGCUAGUUCGUGAGGUAACGGCUCACCAAGGCAAUGAUCUUUAGGGGGCCUGAGAGGGUGAGUCCCCGCGCUGGUAAUUAGAGACGGACCAGACUCCUACGGGAGGCAGCGGUGAGGAAUAUUCGUAAAUGGGUGCGAGGCUGAACCAGCCAUCGCGCGUGAAGGAGUAAGGUCCUAUGGAUUGUAAACUUCUUUUGUAUAGGGAUAAACCUACCCUCGUGAGGGUAGCUGAAGGUACUAUACGAAUAAGCACCGGCUAACUCCGUGCCAGCCGCCGCCGUAA
rnacentral:rRNA from 1 species